GAUGAACGCUGGCGGCGUGCCUAAUACAUGCAAGUCGAGCGAACAGACGAGGAGCUUGCUCCUCUGACGUUAGCGGCGGACGGGUGAGUAACACGUGGAUAACCUACCUAUAAGACUGGGAUAACUUCGGGAAACCGGAGCUAAUACCGGAUAAUAUAUUGAACCGCAUGGUUCAAUAGUGAAAGACGGUUUUGCUGUCACUUAUAGAUGGAUCCGCGCCGCAUUAGCUAGUUGGUAAGGUAACGGCUUACCAAGGCGACGAUGCGUAGCCGACCUGAGAGAGGGAUCGGCCACCCUGGAACUGAGACACGGUCCAGACUCCUACGGGAGGCAGCAGUAGGGAAUCUUCCGCAGUGGGCGAAAGCCUGACGGAGCAACGCCGCGUGAGUGAUGAAGGUCUUCGGAUCGUAAAACUCUGUUAUUAGGGAAGAACAAAUGUGUAAGUAACUGUGCGCGUCUUGACGGUACCUAAUCAGAAAGCCACGGCUAACUACGUG
rnacentral:rRNA from 1 species